AAUGAACGCUGGCGGCGUGCUUAACACAUGCAAGUCGUGCGCGAAGGUGGCUUCGGCUGCCGGAGAGCGGCGAACGGGUGAGUAACACGUGGGUGAUCUGCCUGGGGGCGGGGGAUAACCUGGGGAAACUCGGGCUAAUACCGCAUACGUUGGCGGGUUUACGGACUCGUCAAGAAAGCUGGCCUCUGCUUGCAAGCUAGCGCUCCCAGAGGAGCCCGCGGCUGAUAGCUAGUUGGUGAGGUAAUGGCUCACCAAGGCGACGAUCAGUAGCCGGCCUGAGGAGGGUGAUCGGCCACACUGGGACUGAGAC
rnacentral:rRNA from 1 species